rnacentral:rRNA from 1 species
AUUGAACGCUGGCGGCAGGCCUAACACAUGCAAGUCGAACGGUAACAGGAAGCAGCUUGCUGCUUUGCUGACGAGUGGCGGACGGGUGAGUAAUGUCUGGGAAACUGCCUGAUGGAGGGGGAUAACUACUGGAAACGGUAGCUAAUACCGCAUAACGUCGCAAGACCAAAGAGGGGGACCUUCGGGCCUCUUGCCAUCGGAUGUGCCCAGAUGGGAUUAGCUAGUAGGUGGGGUAACGGCUCACCUAGGCGACGAUCCCUAGCUGGUCUGAGAGGAUGACCAGCCACACUGGACCUGAGACACGGCCCAGCCUCUUCCGGGAGGCAGCAGUGGGGACUAUUGCACAAUGGGCGCAAGCCUGAUGCAGCCAUGCCGCGUGUAUGAAGAAGGCCUUCGGUUGUAAAGUACUUUCAGCGGGGAGGAAGGGAGUAAAGUUAAUACCUUUGCUCAUUGACGUUACCCGCAGAAGAAGCACCGGCUAACUCCGUG